CUGUUGACAAUGAAUUAUUUUGUGCUGUUUUCCAUUGUUAUUUUCACUGCAACGGCUCACCUGGUGGCUUUUUAGAACAGGGAAGGGCAGUGGCUUAACAACACUUUGACACCCUGGAUAUUCCCAGGAGGAGGUAGCACAGUUACGUUUGGCAAAAGUGACAGUCAUAUAUCAACUUCAGAGGCUUUGCUCUUACUCUGUGCAACUACUUAUUCAAGGAAAGUGAAAGUGAUUAAAAGAGCCUACCAGAGACUGAAGAAAGGUGAUGAGCAUUUGUGGAGAGUUAAGAAGGUGGAGGGGAAGUUCAGUAUAUGCAGUCAUUUAAGGAAGAGAGUCUUGCAUAGAAAAGUAAGUGUUCUGGCUGUUCACUCACAGAAAGAACAGAAGGUAAGAAUGACCAACAAGAAGCAGUUUGGGGCGCUGGGGCUGGGGUAUGGGAAGGUUGGUAGAGAGUUAACGGUGCAGGAACCAUUGUGAGAUAUACAUUUAUCCUGACAAUAUGUUCUUACCUCCUCCUUCCAUAUUUUGUUACUGAGAUACUCACAUGGUGUCAGCAAUCAGUGGAAUAUUUGAUACCUUUUAUCUAGCAUGUUUU
rnacentral:lncRNA from 1 species